rnacentral:rRNA from 1 species
AGUGAACGCUGGCGGUAGGCCUAACACAUGCAAGUCGAACGGCAGCACAGUAAGAGCUUGCUCUUACGGGUGGCGAGUGGCGGACGGGUGAGGAAUACAUCGGAAUCUACUUUUUCGUGGGGGAUAACGUAGGGAAACUUACGCUAAUACCGCAUAUGACCUACGGGUGAAAGCAGGGGAUCUUCGGACCUUGCGCGAUUGAAUGAGCCGAUGUCGGAUUAGCUAGUUGGCGGGGUAAAGGCCCACCAAGGCGACGAUCCGUAGCUGGUCUGAGGGGAUGGUCAGCCACACUGGAACUGAGACACGGUCCAGACUCCUACGGGAGGCAGCAGUGGGGAAUAUUGGACAAUGGGCGCAAGCCUGAUCCAGCCAUACCGCGUGGGUGAAGAAGGCCUUCGGGUUGUAAAGCCCUUUUGUUGGGAAAGAAAAGCAGCAGGUUAAUACCCCGCUGUUCUGACGGUACCCAAAGAAUAAGCACCGGCUAACUUCGUG